GACGAACGCUGGCGGCGUGCUUCAUACAUGCAAGUCGAACGAGAAGCUGACUUCGGUCAGUGGAAAGUGGCGGACGGGUGAGUAAUAUGUAGGAAAUCUGCCCUAGAGAGGGGGACAACAGAGGGAAACUUCUGCUAAUACCCCAUAUGAGCGUAGCUGAAAUGCUAUUCUUGAAAACUCCGGUGCUCUAGGAUGAGCCUGCAUCUGAUUAGCUUGUUGGUGGGGUAAUGGCCUACCAAGGCGACGAUCAGUGGCUGGUUUGAGAGGAUGAUCAGCCACAAUGGGACUGAGACACGGCCCAUACUCCUACGGGAGGCAGCAGUAGGGAAUUUUGCGCAAUGGGCGAAAGCCUGAUGCAGCAACGCCGCGUGAAUGAUGAAGCCCCUCGGGGUGUAAAGUUCUGUCAGUGGGGACGAAACUUGACGGUACCCACAGAGGAAGCACCGGCUAACUCCGUGCCAGCAGCCGCCGCAG
rnacentral:rRNA from 1 species